GAUUAACGCUAGCGGCAGGCCUAAUACAUGCAAGUCGAACGGGAUUCAAAGUAGCAAUAUUUUGAUGAGAGUGGCGCACGGGUGAGUAACACGUAUGCAAUUUACCUUUAACUGGGGGAUAGCCCUCCGAAAGGAGGAUUAAUACCGCAUAAUAUAUUGAAAUGGCAUCAUUUUUAAUAUUAAACCUACGGGGGUUAAAGAUGAGCAUGCAUCCGAUUAGCUAGUUGGUGUGGUAACGGCUCACCAAGGCAACGAUCGGUAGGGGGUCUGAGAGGAUGAUCCCCCACACUGGUACUGAGACACGGACCAGACUCCUACGGGAGGCAGCAGUAAGGAAUAUUGGACAAUGGAGGCAACUCUGAUCCAGCCAUGCCGCGUGAAGGAUUAAGGCCCUAUGGGUUGUAAACUUCUUUUAGACGGGACAAAACCCCUCUACGUGUAAAGGGUUGAUGGUACUGUCAGAAUAAGCAUCGGCUAACUUCGUGCCAGCAGCCGCGGU
rnacentral:rRNA from 1 species